rnacentral:tRNA from 1 species
GCCCGCGUGGUGGAAUUGGUAGACAUCGGGGACUUAAAAUCCCUUGGCUUCGGCCGUGCCGGUUCGAGUCCGGCCGCGGGCACCA